CUACGGGGGGCUGCAGUGGGGAAUCUUAGACAAUGGGCGCAAGCCUGAUCUAGCCAUGCCGCGUGAGUGACGAAGGCCUUAGGGUCGUAAAGCUCUUUCGCUGGGGAAGAUAAUGACGGUACCCAGUAAAGAAACCCCGGCUAACUCCGUGCCAGCAGCCGCGGUAAUACGGAGGGGGUUAGCGUUGUUCGGAAUUACUGGGCGUAAAGCGCGCGUAGGCGGAUCAGAAAGUUGGGGGUGAAAUCCCGGGGCUCAACCCCGGAACUGCCUUCAAAACUCCUGGUCUUGAGUUCGAGAGAGGUGAGUGGAAUUCCGAGUGUAGAGGUGAAAUUCGUAGAUAUUCGGAGGAACACCAGUGGCGAAGGCGGCUCACUGGCUCGAUACUGACGCUGAGGUGCGAAAGCGUGGGGAGCAAACAGGAUUAGAUACCCUCGUAGUC
rnacentral:rRNA from 1 species